rnacentral:rRNA from 1 species
UACAGAGGGUGCAAGCGUUAAUCGGAAUUACUGGGCGUAAAGGGCUUGUAGGUGGUUAAUUAAGUUAGAUGUGAAAUACCUGGGCUUAACCUGGGGAAUGGCGCUUGUGACUGCAAAGCUGGAGUGCGGCAGAGGGGGAUGGAAUUCCGCGUGUAGCAGUGAAAUGCGUAGAUAUGCGGAGGAACACCGAUGGCGAAGGCAAUCCCCUGGGCCUGCACUGACGCUCAUGCACGAAAGCGUGGGGAGCAAACAGG